GAACAGAAUUUAAUGAUUGAAGUUACAACGGUAAAUUCUAUUUAGAAUUUUCCAAAACCUCAAAGUAUUCCCUGAAGUCUGAUUUUAAUAACAGAAUUCAAAAAAUGGGUAACCAAUUCCUGAGAGAAAUAUAAGGGACAGCAGUUACAAUUCUUCAGGGCUUUACUUUCAUAUGAAUUAUAACAUAAUUACAUUAUAUUUCUGCUAACAUAUUUCAUAACAGAAAAGAAAUACUGGCUCUCUGAAUUCUUUUCUCAGCAUUGAAGGACGGUUACAACAUUAACAGGCCAAGAAAAAAAAGUUAGUUAAACAGAAACCCAAACCUUAGUUUCCAGCCUUGUCCUGAGCCUGCUGCCCAGAGGAAAGACCAGCUCACACCAGCUAUCACAUAUUCCUACCUUAAUUCUCCAUCCUAGCCACCUUAGUUAAGACCUGUUCUCAGAAAUACAUGACUCAGAGGCAUUUCCUCUCAAGCUGAUGUUUAUUUAUUCUUUAGAUUUUUAAGGCUGGGCAUUGGAUUUGCAAAGGGUAUGAGGCUCUUUGUGGGCAUUUUUGAAGGUUGGCUCCAUCUAAGCAUUCUCUCUUUAAAUAUCAGCCAACAUAAAUCUAAAAAAUGUCAUAGAACAGUCUAGAAGUGGUUGGGCCCUGAGUUUAAAUGAUUGAUUACAGAAAAUUAAAACAUUAGCCUGAUGAAUUUUUGCAUUUUUUGUAGAGACAGGGUUUCAUCAUGUUGCCAGGCCAGUCUUGAACUCCUGGGCUCAAGUGAUCCUUCCAUCUCAGCCUCCCAAAGUGCUGAGAUUACAGGCAUAAGCCACCAUACAUAGCCAUGUGCAGGAUCUUUAUCUGGGAAAGACUGUCCUUAACUAAUAUCAUAGAUUUGAUUUAAAUGUUUUCUAAAAAAUCACUUAAAGUGUAAACAGAAAUUCAGUGUAACAUCCUGGAAGAGGUCUAAUGAGUUCAAGAAAGCAGAAAUUAACCUGAAGGUAAGCUUGUCACCCUGCUGAAAUGGUUUCUGAGCGUGAGAAGCACAUAAAAGGAAGGAGUUUAUGAAGCACCUUAUUUAUGUUGGCUGAUUUUUGCUGUACCAGCACCCAUGAGUUCAAUGGUCUUGUGUAGCACUCACUACAGAGCUGAGGGAUUACAGGAGGACCAACUCACAGCCCCUGUGCUCUUAGGUUUCCCAAGACAGUCCUAACUUCCACCUCUGCUUAGAAUAGGAAACACUCAUGGUGUGUUUAAUUUAGGCUAGUCAUUAUUCUAAGCAUUCAACACUCACUGGCUUAUUCAAUUCCACUAACAACCCUAUGAAGGGAGCACUAUAAUUAUCUGCAUUUUGUGGUUAAGGAAACAAAGGCAAGGUUAAAUAACUCGCUGUGCCAGAUAUUGAUUAUAUUCUCUCUCACCUCCAAAUUCACCCUUUUUGCCUGCUCUGUUAAAAUGGAUCCAGGCCCUUUAAGUAUUUUCCCUUUGCCAGCUGAUACAAUGUUAGGCUUUGUCAGUAGAGAGAGCUAGAGAGAAACUGCAGGAGAAAAGGGUGCUGCUUCCCAGAGACAGUGCAUUUGCUCAGCCAGCUCCAGCACCAGGCCCUGCAGGUAGCAUGUGACCAGCAGCACUCAUGGCCAGCUGCUUCCCCAGCCCCCUCCCUGAGGUGGUAUUUUAGCAGUGUCACCAAGGAGACAGUUCUCUGUGGAUCCUAGAGGGCAGAUCUCUGGCAAGUUCCAGAAAGACUUGUAGAUUCUCAACAAGUUCCAUUGGCACACCACCACAGAAACUUCUCCACCACCUGCCGAGACACUGUGGUUCCCUCUCAGCCCAGGGCUAGGAGGAAGACUCUUCCUAGGACUCCUUGCAUCUGCUGUACCCACCUAUAUUCUUCAGGGCUAUCUUUACAACUUACUAGCCAACCUUUUGCUACUCUAAUCUGCUAUUAAGGUUAAUGAUUAAACAUAUUAAACAUUUCCAUUCAAAUGACUGUGUGGUUUCUCUCUCCUAGUUGGACCCAGACUGACACUCUUGCCUGAGGGCACAGACCAGGGAGCAGCAAUCAAUACUGGACACCAGGCAGCUUCCACGCUUGACAGUGUUGCCAGACCCUCGCGUGGGCAGGAGGGCACAGCUCUCUAGGAGGCAACAUUAUCCACUGGAGCAUCUAGAAGCACAAGUACUUCCAUGAUGGUCAGAGGCAGAAGAGGAUGCGGAGCAGGGUAGAAGACUCUCAUGACUACCUGCACGCCACCAUCUUCCCCGGCCUGGCGCAAUUGCCUUCAGGAUAUGUACAGCAUGACCCACAGGGAUUUCACUUCAUGGAAUGCAAAACCAACCUGCAUGAGCUUUGUUUGAAAACAAAACAAAACAAAACGAAAACAAAACAAAACAAAACAGAGAAAUCCUAUCUAUAAAAUUACUCUUAAUGGAAAUUCUGCCUGUAUAAAAUUAAAGUGGCAGAUGACUUUGUGCUGGGCACCAAGUGGCAUUGUUACAGAUGCCGGGGUACACACACGGAGACAGCUCCAGGCAAGGUGCAUUGUUAGGCAAGCUUCCUGUGAGGCAAAGCUAGCCACAGAUGGAAGCCUGCACCCAACCCUACUGCCCAGAGGAACCCCAGGACCCUCAGCCAUCCCUUCCUGGAAUUGCUCAACAUAGAGGAUGCAGGUAAUGAGG
rnacentral:lncRNA from 10 species